UACGUAGGGGGCAAGCGUUGUCCGGAUUUAUUAGGCGUAAAGAGCGUGUAGGCGGCUUUACAGGUCCGUUGUGAAAACUCGAGGCUCAACCUCGAGACGCCGGUGGAAACCGUAAGGCUAGAGUCCGGAAGAGGAGAGUGGAAUUCCUGGUGUAGCGGUGAAAUGCGCAGAUAUCAGGAAGAACACCCGUGGCGAAGGCGGCUCUCUGGGACGGUACUGACGCUGAGACGCGAAAGCGUGGGGAGCGAACAGG
rnacentral:rRNA from 1 species